UACGUAGGGACCAAGCGUUGUCCGGAAUCAUUGGGCGUAAAGAGCGUGUAGGCGGCUUGUUAAGUCUUGCGUGAAAUCUCGGGCUCAACCCCGAGCGGUCGUGAGAAACUGGCAGGCUAGAGUGCAGAAGGGGCAAUCGGAAUUCUUGGUGUAGCGGUGAAAUGCGUAGAGAUCCGAAAGAACACCGGUGGCGAAGCGGUCUGCUGGGCAGUAGCUGACACUGAGCGCGACAGCGUGGGAGCAACAGG
rnacentral:rRNA from 1 species